GUUGUACAUCCUUUCAGAUGUUAUCUACCUGGAGACAUUUGCAGUCAGGAGAGAAAUAGCUCCAUAAAGUCAGCUGACAGCUCCCGGCCCUGUUUGAAUAGUUUCAAGUCAAUCCUUAGGGGAGCAAGCCUUAAUUAUCACUGGAGGACGAAAGGCUGCAUCUUCAAGGAAUCUGGCAGACCUCAGCAGGACGCAACCAC
rnacentral:lncRNA from 1 species